rnacentral:rRNA from 1 species
AAUGAACGUUGGCGGCGUGGAUUAGGCAUGCAAGUCGCGCGAGAAGUCAUUUAGCUUGCUAAAAGACGGACAGCGGCGGAAGGGAGAGUAACGCGUGGUUAUGUACCCUCGAGACCGGGAUAGUGUCGGGAAACUGGCAGUAAUACCGGAUAACAUCUUCGGAUCAAAUGGUGUGAUUCCGCUCGAGGAUCGGACCGCGUACUAUUAGCUAGUUGGAGGGGUAAUAGCCCACCAAGGCUUAGAUGGUUACCGGGUGUGAGAGCAUGGCCCGGCUCGCUGGGACUGAGACACUGCCCAGACAUCUAGGGAGGGCUGCAGUCGAGAAUCGUCGGCAAUGGACGAAAGUCUGACCGAGCGACGCCGCGUGCGGGAUGAAGGCCUUCGGGUUGUAAACCGCUGGCAGUUAGGAGGAAAUCCAUGAGGGUUCUCUCUCAUGGUUGACCGAUUUUCAGAGGAAGGACGGGCUAAGUUCGUGCCAGCCGCCGCGGUAAUAC